rnacentral:rRNA from 1 species
AUUGAACGCUGGCGGCAGGCCUAACACAUGCAAGUCGAACGAGCGGCGGACGGGUGAGUAAUGUCUGGGAAACUGCCUGAUGGAGGGGGAUAACUACUGGAAACGGUAGCUAAUACCGCAUACCAUCGGAUGUGCCCAGAUGGGCUUAGCUAGUAGGUGGGGUAAAGGCUCACCUAGGCGACGAUCCCUAGCUGGUGUGAGAGGAUGACCAGCCACACUGGAACUGAGACACGGUCCCGACUCCUACGGGAGGCAGCAGUGGGGAAUAUUGCACAAUGGGCGCAAGCCUGAUGCAGCCAUGCCGCGUGUAUGAAGAAGGCCUUCGGGUUGUAAAGUACUUUCAGCGGGGAGGCGUUACCCGCAGAAGAAGCACCGGCUAACUCCGUGCCAGCCGCCGCGGUAAUAC